CAACGCCGCGUGGAGGAUGAAGCCCCUUGGGGCGUAAACUCCUUUCGAGUCGGGACGAUUAUGACGGUACCGGAAGAAGAAGCCCCGGCUAACUUCGUGC
rnacentral:rRNA from 1 species